rnacentral:misc_RNA from 1 species
UGCGAGCGUGGGGCAGGGGG